AUACGGAGGGUGCGAGCGUUAAUCGGAAUUACUGGGCGUAAAGCGCGCGUAGGCGGCUUUGUCAGUCGGAUGUGAAAGCCCUGGGCUUAACCUGGGAAUGGCAUUCGAUACUGCAGAGCUAGAGUAUGGUAGAGGGAAGUGGAAUUUCCGGUGUAGCGGUGAAAUGCGUAGAUAUCGGAAGGAACACCAGUGGCGAAGGCGACUUCCUGGGCCAAUACUGACGCUGAGGUGCGAAAGCGUGGGGAGCAAACAGGAUUAGAAACCCCAGUAGUCC
rnacentral:rRNA from 1 species